UGCAUCGACACUCUGUUGCCUCCACUUUUCAAAACUUGCAUCUGUUAGUAGUUGUCGGUUCUCUUCAUUUCGUCGUUGACCGUUUUGAGAACAACCACACACGUACGCGCCCGCGACAUCAUGUAAAUAUUGUUUUUAGAAGUGCAUGUAAAACUUUCUCAGAUUGGGUCGAAACUUGGCAUGGAGUCUUAAUAGUAUGUAGGUAGACCGCCUACCAAAUUUCAUCGCAAUCUGAGUUUGUUUGUUACCCGAACGGUCGACCGUAGCGGCACCAUCAUCGGUUUAUCGUCGGACGUUUUUCAGUGUUUAAACAUAUUGUGCCGGGUUGCAAAUGUCCCUCUCUUCUCAGCCCAACCUAUUCUA
rnacentral:lncRNA from 1 species